CGGGCGAGAGACCGAUAGCG
rnacentral:snRNA from 1 species